AUUGAACGCUGGCGGCAUGCCUUACACAUGCAAGUCGAACGGCAGCACGGGUGCUUGCACCUGGUGGCGAGUGGCGAACGGGUGAGUAAUACAUCGGAACAUGUCCUGUAGUGGGGGAUAGCCCGGCGAAAGCCGGAUUAAUACCGCAUACGAUCUACGGAUGAAAGCGGGGGACCUUCGGGCCUCGCGCUAUAGGGUUGGCCGAUGGCUGAUUAGCUAGUUGGUGGGGUAAAGGCCUACCAAGGCGACGAUCAGUAGCUGGUCUGAGAGGACGACCAGCCACACUGGGACUGAGACACGGCCCAGACUCCUACGGGAGGCAGCAGUGGGGAAUUUUGGACAAUGGGCGAAAGCCUGAUCCAGCAAUGCCGCGUGUGUGAAGAAGGCCUUCGGGUUGUAAAGCACUUUUGUCCGGAAAGAAAUCCUUGGUUCUAAUAUAGCCGGGGGAUGACGGUACCGGAAGAAUAAGCACCGGCUAACUACGUGCCAGCAGCCGCGGUAAUACGUAGGGUGCGAGCGUUAAUCGGAAUUACUGGGCGUAAAGCGUGCGCAGGCGGUUUGCUAAGACCGAUGUGAAAUCCCCGGGCUCAACCUGGGAACUGCAUUGGUGACUGGCAGGCUAGAGUAUGGCAGAGGGGGGUAGAAUUCCACGUGUAGCAGUGAAAUGCGUAGAGAUGUGGAGGAAUACCGAUGGCGAAGGCA
rnacentral:rRNA from 1 species